CUUUGUUACAUUUGUUGUUUAUGUAGUGAUAUUAAGAUGAUAACACAAUAUUGACUGUUGUACCCCUAUUUUUGACAUUUUUACUCUUUGAGUAUGUUUGUUUUGUUCAUGCAUCGUUGACAAUGUAAUGGAAUUUGAUACGACUGUCAUACAAGUGAGAGGUUUAGCUAGCUAUAAAACCAGGUUCAAUCCACCAUUUUCUACAUUAGAAAAUGCCUGUACCAAGUCAGGAAUAUGACAGUUGUUAUCCAUUCGUUUGAUGUGUUUGGACUUUUGAUUUUGCCUUUUGAUUUUUGAUUUUCCUUUUUGAAUUUUCCUCGGAGUUCAGUAUUUUUGUGUUUUUACUUUUUGCAU
rnacentral:lncRNA from 1 species